UACAGGGGAUGCAAACGUUGCUCGGAAUCAUUGGGCGUAAAGCGCACGUAGGCGGUUCGUUAUGUCGGAUGUGAAAGCCCUUGGCUUAACCGAGGAAGUGCAUCCGAAACUGGCGAGCUAGAGUACGAAAGAGGAUCGCGGAAUUCCCGGUGUAGAGGUGAAAUUCGUAGAUAUCGGGAGGAACACCGGUGGCGAAGGCGGCCAGCUGGCGCUGACCUGACGCUGAGGCGCGAAGGCGUGGGGAGCAAACGGG
rnacentral:rRNA from 1 species